AUGAAAGCCAACACUUCCAGGAGGUCUUCGUACACUAAUGUGCUUAAGAAGCAAACUUUUUGUUGCAACAAGUCAGGGAAGCCAAUCUAUGAUUAUGCCCACACACCCGUGUUUGAGAAACUAACCUCAGAUUCUGAUGACCGUGGCGAUGGACAAGAUGUUGGGAGUAAGCAAGAGGGUGUAGCUCUUAUAAAUCUUCAGGGGGGGCUUGUUAAGAAGAGGAGAAGAGAGUUUAUCGAACAGACUGAUUGUCGAGCAAAAAUGACAGUCAAGCUGACUAAUAACAAGUGGGUGGUCACAUGUGUUGUUGCAGACCACAAUCAUAGACUAAUUGACAAGCCAUCUCUCACUAAAUACCUCCGCUCUCACCAAGGCAUCCCGCUGGAAGAGGUUGAGUUCUUGGAAAUAUUGCAUAGGUGCAACAUGGAAACAUGUCGCAUGAUGACUGUUAUGUCUGAAUUCUAUGGCCAAGCUGUAAUUGUGCCGUACACAACGAAAACGAUAAGCAACAUGAGAACUAGCUUUCGCAGUGCUGAGGCAAAUGAAGGCGAUUUGGCUGAGACAGUUGCCUACUUCGAGCAAAAGCAGGAAGAAGACCCAGGCUUCUUCUUCAAAAUCAAAAAGGAUGGAAUAGGCAGAGCUGAGAAUUUGUUUGGGGUUGAUGGGAGGGAUCGAGAGACCUACAUAAAAGCUUACAAUGAUUGUAUCUCUUUUGACACGACCUACUUGAAAAAUAUGUAUAACAUACUCUUUGCUCCAUUUAUUGGGAUGAACAGGCAUGGGCAGUCUUUCAUGUUGGGGUGUGGCUUCUUGCGGCAAGAGCUUGAGACCAGCCUUGAUUGGUUGUUUGGGGCCUUUCUUGAAGCGAUGCAUGGCAUUGCACCGCUCAACAUCAUAACUGACCAAGAUCAGGCGAUGAAAAAAUCUAUAGCAAACAUUUUCCCAUGCGCAGUUCACCGUAGUUGCUGCUGGCAUAUCAUUAAGAAAGCCCAAGAGAAGUUGGGUGCUUACUUGGCUAGGCAUCCUGAGCUAGCUAAAGAAUUAAAUGAGGUGAUAGACUUGAGCAUGACUCCUGAGGAGUUUGAGGCAAGGUGGGCUGCUAUGGUUGAGAAGCGUGGUAUUGCUGGCGAUAAACGCUUUGAUGAUCUCUAUGCGAUUAAGCAUCUUUGGGUCCCUUGCUACUUUAGGAAUUGUUUCUUCCCAUUCCUCCAGUCGACUCAGCGUAGUGAAGGCUUCAAUGCCGUCCUAAAAAGGUACGUGAACCCGCAAAAUUCUGUGGUCAACUUUGUGAAGCAAUAUGAGAAGAUAAAUGACAAGAUCUUGGUGAAAGAAGGGGGUAAUGAUUACCAAACAAAUGAGCCUGAGCCAAGGCUUUGGUCCCUGUUCCCAAUUGAGAAGCAAGCCUUGCGAGUUUACACAAGGGAUAUAUACUACAGGUUUCAACAUGAGUUUUCUUUGAUUGACAUGUAUAAUGUUAGGCCUCAAGGCGCCAACAUGUACGUACUUGAGCCUAACGGAAUUUAUGCAGGGAUUUAUGGGCGUAGACUGUACAUGGUAACAACGCAGGUUGAUCGGCAAGAGUACGGUUGUGAGUGUUGCAAGUUUUACAGGGAUGGGCUGUUUUGUGUCCACAUCUUGAAAGUGUUCACCCACCUUGGUGUUGAUGAGAUCCCUGAGCGUUACAUACUGCCUAGAUGGACUCAGAAUGCAUUUCUUACUGAUUUGCCCCCUGACACACAAGUCCCUAAUGCCAUGCCUCAAGAGUCGCUGCAGCAAAUAAGGCACGUUUCCCUGAAUACUAUGUUUGGCAAAAUCUCUAAAUUGGGCAGUAUGUCCGAUGCAGGAGCAGCUUUGUGCAAGUCCGGUGGGCACGCGUUGGAGACUGAACUGAACCAACUUUAUAAAUCAAGGAGGAAGAAGAAGCAAGCGGCGCCAGCCCAGCCACCAGCCCAAUCUGCCCCCACGGAAGCUUCUAUUGGAGAGCCUAAAGCAAAUCCUUUGCGUAACCCCCCAAAAUCUUCUACUAAGGGACGCAAGAGAGACAAGAGGUACUAUUCGGGCAUUGAGUUACAUCCGAAGAAGAAGAAAAAAUGUGCAUACUACAAAGAGUUAGGGCACAAUUGUGCCACUUGCACGCCUGGUCUAAACUGA
rnacentral:rRNA from 1 species